CGGUCCAAAGAAAUUCCCAUCACAUGUUUUCUUUCCUUCGCCUGUGCUGAUAAAUUUCUUUCUGAAAGCAGCCAGAGGUUUUAAUGGGUGUUUUCAUAGAGAGAGUUCCUGACCCCUCCUGGCUCAACACUAGGGAGCUUUAAGCAGAACGGAAAAUGAAUACAAACCGGAAUAUGUUGGGAAGAUACAGUAGAGAAGACUUGUGUGGAUCCCUGAGCCAGUACAAAUGCCUGCUUAAUUAGAAAAUCAAUCUUGGCUGUCCGGGUGACAGAUAGGAAUCCUCUGUUGGAGAUGAGAAAGAGAGUCCAGUCAUGGUUUGAAAAUAAGUCCUUAAAGCCAAACCUAAAGAAGACAGCAGCCUUUAUUCAACUACACCCAUCAAGGGGAAAUGGAGAUAUAGAAAAUGUCUGGUUCUCAAAGGAUCCGUGUGUUGUAUAGGGAACUCUUCUCCAGGACACAUCUUCUGUCCGAGGUCUAAAGGAAUGCAUCCAAAGUUGUGGAGAGAGCUUUCUGUGCAAAGUGGCAGGUGCAGAGUGGAGCCCGCUAAGAGAAGGAUGUGUGCUGCAGGCCGGAGGGAAAGAACAGUGCAGAAGCCAGUCAGAAUUGUGGGGUUUGCUGUUUGCCCUCCUGAGUUGUGGGCUCCAUAGUUAUGAUAUUGCCAUGAGUUUCAGAGGAGCUGGAACAAGGAAAGUACAGGAUAGCCAAAAGAACUUACUAUCUCAAAGUAGAAGGAAGAAGUCAAAGAAUAAAGGAACUCCGAAGACAAAGAGUGGACCCAGAGAAGUAUGAAGACCUUGAUCUUCACAAUAAUAAUUACUACAGAAUGAUAAAUCAUUGAAUAAAUACUACAAACACACGACUAUGUCAGAUGUGGGAAUUAGAUGCUAGUUCAUAAAGAUGGAAGGAAUAAUUCAUUAGAUAAAUCAGUCAUCGGCAGCAAUGGUGGUAAUAAUUAAACUGAGAAAUAUCUAUGGAUGAAAAUUAAGUGGGUGAAGAUCUGAAAUGAUAUUUACAUAAUGUGAGAGAAGUAGUUCUCAUAACAUAUUUGUGUGUUAAGAAGAAAACAAGCUUAGCAUUUGGAAAGGUCUGGCAGGCAGUAUCUUAGCCCAAUUACAGACUUAACUCCAAGGAAACACAACAAAAAGCAGCUGCCAGGGCUGGGAAGAUGCACAAAACCUCCUAGAAAAGGUGGGCGUUCAAUCCCAUAGCAAUGUAAAACCAAGUAGGCUCAAUUUGGGGACAGAGUGCAGAUAACUGGCCCUAUGUUUUCAAAAUAUCAAGGUCAAGAUGGUUGAAAACGACCAGAGAAAGCAUUUCAGGAUACUAUGACAUUGUUGGCCAACCUUGCAUCUUCUGUGAAGUGGUUGCUGCAGCCUGGAUGGAGGCUGAGGGUAAGGGAUGAUGAUGUGUCAAUGUUAAUUUUCUGGUUUUGAUAGGUUUAUUAUGGCUGUGCUAAAUGACAUUCCUGUUUGAAGGAAAUUCACACUAAACUGUCAGAAGAGCUGUUAAGACAGCACAUAUAUAAAUUACUCGGAGAUUGUUAGGAAUCUAUAUCACACUUGCAAUUUUUCUCUAAGUUUGAAUUUUCUAACUGACAAUUAUUUAAGUACUGGUGGCAUAGUUAAGUGGUUACUUCAGAGGACUCGAUAUUAGAUCUAUGUUAGAUGCCUCAUAGCCAUUCAUAACUUUAGUUUCAGGAGAUCUAAUGCCCAUGGGUACCUGCAUAUAUAUAUAUAUAUAUAUAUAUAUAUAUAUAUAUAUAUAUAUAUAUAUAUAUAUAUAUAAAAUCAUAUACUUACACACACACACACACACGCACUAAAUCUUUAAAAUGAUCUAUGUAUUUUUUUAUCCUCUCAUAUAUUCCUUCCUGACUGCAGUUUCCCUUCUCUCCUCCCCCAAUUCCCACUCCCCAGUUCAUCCCUCAGCAUCCAUUUUUUCUACAGAAAAUAGCAGUCUUCCUUGGGAUAUCAACAAAACCUGGCAUAUCAAAUUGCAAUAAGACUAGGAACCUCCCUUCAUUUUCAUUGGGAAGAUUUAUUGUGGAAAAAAUAGAUAAGAAUUAACCUGCCCACCAAAGUUUUAUCAUACAUGGGGGACAAAUCUCCCCUACUCCCAGCAGCUCUCAACAAGUAAUGGAUGCUGAGAGAGGAAAGGCAUGUUCCUCAGUAGUGUAUCCACUGUGUGCUAUGUCAUUAUAUGCUUAUGCCAUCGAAAGACAUGGAUAUAGGAAGGGAGGUUUGUUAGAAUAAAUAGGGUUGAAAGGGAGGGGGAAGAAUAUGUAUGUGACAUUGUGACAGAAUAGAGAUUAAAAGCAAAAAGAACUGGUUCAUGCUUUCAAACGGUUAGAAGCUAGACUGAAGGCUUUCUAGUUAAGAGCACACACAUUGGUAUUGCAAAGUAGCUGGGUUGGCAUUCCAAAGCCCACAUGAUGGCUUACCACUGUCUAUAAGUCCAGUUCCAGAAGGGUCCUUGAUGCUCUAUUCUGAUCUCUAUGGGCUGUAUACUUACAGACACAUAAGCAAAAUACUCUUAAAAUAAAUAAAAAUAUUUUUAAAGGCUACUGUAGAGUAGAAAGGAAAAGACAUUGAAGAUGAAGUAGCCAGAAGAACACACACACACACACACACACACACACACACACACACACACACACAUACACAUAUGGAUGGGGGAGAGAGAGAGAGAGAGAGAGAGAGAGAGAGAGAGAGAGGUGGCUUAUGUCACAUACAUACAUACAUACAUACAUACAUACAUACAUGGCAGGGUUGGGGAUUUAGCUCAGUGGUAGAGCGCUUGCCUAGGAAGCGCAAGGCCCUGGGUUCGGUCCCCAGCUCCGGAAAAAAAAAAAACAUACAUACAUGGGUGGUUCUGGAAUGAAAUGUCUAUGUAUCAUGUUGGUUCCUCUGUGAGCAAAGAGGUUUCAGAGUGGUAGUGAGCAUCUUACAUACUGUAGUCCCCCUCCUUCUUGCAAGGAAAUAUAGUAACAGGGUGAACUCUAAGCUAUGCAGAGCAAAUGGCCAGGUGACUAUAGUUGUUAGUUAGUUACUAUUAUUAACUAUUGGUAAUUUUAGUGAAACAGCUACAUCUAAAUUGUGGCUUUGAUAGUUAUUUGACCUUGAGAAAAAUUUUAUUUGUUUUCCUGAGACCCUGGUUUUCCAUUUAAACCAUAAACAAACAAACAAACAAACAAACUGACUUAGUAGGCACAACUAAUGUGACGGUUGUGAGAAUUAACUGAGGUGAUGGAAAUGCUUGGCAGUGGGUGUGUAUGCUUCAAUGGUGGGGCUUCUCAGCUGGGGUCAUAACGCCAUCUACUCACAAGGCUGAGGCAGAAUGACUAAUGCUGAAGGCCAGCCUGGGCUGUGCAGCACACAUGUAGAUAGAGUCUAGUCAAUCUAGUGAGACUCUACCUCAAAACAAAAGUUUAAAAGAUGGUUGAGGGGGCUGGAGAGAUGGCUCAGCGGUUAAGAGCACCCGACUGCUCUUCCAGAGGUUAUGAGUUCAAUUCCCAGCAACCACAUGGUGGCUCACAACCAUCUGUAAAGAGUUCCAAUGCCCUCUUCUGGUGUGUCUGAAGACAGCUACAGUGUACUUAUAUAUAAUAAAUAAAUAAAUCUUUAAAAAAAAAAAGAUGGUUGAGAUAGGACUCAAUGGCAGAGUACUUACCUCACAUGUGAAGCCAUUGGUUAAAGUCAUUAUGUAAAAAAUGUUAAUUACUACUACAAAUAUACAAGUCAAAACAUAGUAAAUGCCCCAGAGAAAAUUAAAAGCAUAGGGUAACUCUGAGGAAAGGAAAAGAAAAAACUCAAAUGGAAGUGGAGGGUACACACCAGGUUGAACAAUUUUCUUGAAUGGUUAUUACUCUCACAUAAGGACUGGGAGGCAGAUUUAUCACAGAGCAGCAGGCUUCACUCUUGUUCCUGACUCCCUGAUGCAUUUAGACCAUUCUGAGGCCCUAGGGCAUACUCUGUAAAGCCUUCAUAUAUUUACACCAAAUUUAAAACUUCUGUGUAUAUGGUAUUUGAUUGGCAGGCAAAAACAGUUUUUCUUACUCAGGCUCACCUGUGUAGAAAGUCAAAUUCUUGCUUGGCUUUCAAACUCCAGCCUAGAGUUAGAGAUUUAAGAAAAUAUUAUUUGCAUCUGGUUAACGAAUAGCUGAGUUACUCUCACUACCCACUGGCCAACUUAUCCAGCAACGACAUCAAAUGUCCAUUGGUGUUUUGAAACCCAGAGUCUGAGAAGAAUCAAUACAUGUUGCUGCUGACACCUCUUUUGACAGCCCAGAAUGACCCCAGGGAAUGGCAUAAUGAAGAUGGGUCAAGAUAAACUUCACAGGCAUGAGACUUCCAUAUUAGGUAAUAAUAGAUUUUUGUCAAGUUUGAUAAUUAACAUACCCAGCAUUUGAAAUAUUCUGGAUAUUAAAAUAGAAAAUGUUUGAAAUACAAUCAGGGUUCAGUAUGGGGAAAAUUCUUCGAUCAAGAGAAAUGCAAAACUAUAAGUAGCUAAUCUGCUUUGAGUCAGUCUGUGUAGUCAGCUUGCAAAUUCUCUCCAUAGAUAAGAACAUAAACCUAUCAAGGUACCUCCGUGGGAAGUCAAUCAGUGACUAGCUAGUCAAUGGGUUGUGCCAGUACAAACAUGAUCUAAGAUUAGUUAACUUGAAAGGUUCUGAAUUCUUUUAACCUGUAUAGGAAAGAAACUGGUUUAGUGGUUUCCAAUAGUGACAAAAUAAAUCCUACCAAAAUACUUUCAAUCAUGAAGUCUGUAAUAGGCUAGAAAUAUGCAGAAUUGAAAAAGAAACUGAAUAAAUAAAGAAGUAAACUAAAAACAGCUAGAUAAAUGUAGACGAAAUUGUGCAAGAUCCUGAGGUUGGCAAAUAAAACAUUCUUGUAUGUUUUCUGAUAUUUAUAGAUAAUUUAUUUCUGAGAAGUAGAUAAUUCAUUGUAAUUUUCCUAUAUGUAAAUAUUUACUUUCACAUCUUGUAUUUAAUUACCUUCUUCCUUGUUUUAACCAAAUAUAGAACAAGAAACAAAUUAACAAAUAAGGAUCUCUUUUGCAAUAUGGCUUAAGGGUAUAAUCCAAUGGUAUAUGACAAGAUCAUAGGUGGUAGGCUGGCCCCACUACAUCUCCAGGUAGAAAGUUGGGAGAAUGUUGAAUGCUGGAUUUCAAGUGACCUUUUUCUUCCUUUUUGUUUUAAAUGUAGAGGGAUCCCAGCCUAAAGGAUGGUGCUACCCAAAGGUGUGUACUUCUUCCUUAGUUCAAACUUUUUUCAAAACUCCCUCACAGACAUUCCCAGAAGUGUGUCUCCUAGGUGAUCCCAAACCUAGUCAAGUACAACUCAUUUAUUAGUUGAACUCUUUAUUUUAAAGACUGCCCAAAGAGAACAACAACAAAAAUCAGCCUCAGGCCCACAAAAUUCGGACCUACUCUGGCGUUGCUAACGUCUUAGUACCUCUUGCCGAUAGUUGACUUGGGAUUGAACACAAACAGGUAAAAUCCCAGGUUUGUGAAAGGAAACAUAUGGAAUAGUCCAUGAUCAAUGACUUUUAGGAUAGAGGUAAUCUGGGGAUAUUAUAUGCUAAAGAAAAUAUUGGUUGUAACAGGGAGAGAGAUACUGUGCUUGAGAUAAGGGUAGAAUGAAGAAAAGACUGGGCCUUCCAGAGAAAGCAGUGGGAGAGGGAGGCAUUAAGAGUGGGUCUUGAGCUUGUGUGUGUGUGUGUGUGUGUGUGUGUGUGUGUAGGGAGUUAUUUCUGUGACCUUUUUUUUUUUUUUUUUCCGGAGCUGGGGACCGAACCCAGGGCCUUGUGCUCGCUAGGCAAGUGCUCUACCACUGAGCUAAAUCCCCAACCCCUUCUGUGACCUUGAUCUUGUUUACAUUAAAGGCCAAAGUGUAACCUCAAAGUUGGAGGUUUCAAUAACUGGUCACUAAUAACUCCUUUCCUAGGUGUAACUGUUGAGACAGUAAUGUAUCUGCUUCAAUUAGAAUCAAGACUUCCUAUUGCCCUUAGUCUCUGUAUGCAGAAGCUCUGUUGCAAAUUUGUCUGUAAGUCUGAUGGGAUUUGGCUAGAAAAUGAUAGACUCUUACUGUAGUGUCUUGACGUGGUAGUCAGUUAAUCCUCUCUACACUCUUUUGAUGGAUGUGCACAUGCUUCUUGCCACCCGCCAAAAUGCUCUGGAUUUCAGAAAGACAACACACACACACACACACACACACACACACACACACACACACACACACAGUCUUCUAUUUUAACAUGCCUAAAACAAAGCAAUGGCUGGGUACUUUCAAAUCUCUGUGUUGCUAACACUUCCCCUCUGAUAUUCCUGAAUUAUUACUUACUAAAAUCUAUAUUUCAUUUCUGCUACCCCAGACCCAGUCGGCGGAAUGGCCUCUGGGAUUAUUCUUCCCCAAUUCUUACAUUUUUGUCUGUUUUCUCUCCUAUAGCUCUCAGGUUUGAUGUUUCUGCUUCUGUGGCUUGGUGAUUCUAAAAGCUCCUUGUGGUCUCUUCCCAGGAAAUCUAAAAUCCUGCCUUUGUUGUUUCCCUGCUUAGCAGUUGGCAGCCAGCAACUUUAUUUGUCAAUUAGAGCCAACUGGGAGCAGGGACCCUCAGUGUCUUACAGGCAGAUGUGAAGAUUCCCGUGUGAUUUUUGUAGUCAAAUUAACACAAAUAACUUUAGAACCAACCCACAACACUGUCUGAAUAGUUAAAGAAAGCCACAAGAAUAAUAAUGUAUGUUAGUGAGGAGAUCACUGAAUGGGGAACUUGAGCUGUUGUUGAAGAAAAGAAACUAAGAUUCAGUUUUUAUAGAAUUAUUCUCCCCAGAAGGGAAGGUAGCAAACAAGAAGACAUGCAAUAAUAAAGUGAGAUGUAGCACAUAAAUAAAAACACCAACACUAUAAAUAGCAUCAAAUGCAGAAGAGAAGAAUUUCAGGUGUGAAAUGUUAGAGUAAAUGUGAGUAAAUGAAGGGUUAUUAUGUGAAAACAUCUGGUGUUAUUUGGUAUGUGGUUCCAAGAACAUGGGGGCUGCCGAUGUGUUUGGGAUGCUAUAACAACAAUAACAAUAGCUACACACCCACAUAAACUGUAGGACAAUCGGUUUCUCUCACAUGCUAGUGGUGGAAAAGACUAGGCUCAAGGCCUUGGAAGAUUCAGUGUCAAGUUCAGGGACGCCUGCUUCAGAGGGAUCUCCUGACUGGGAUCUCAUAUGACAGGAAAGAAAAGGUGGUUUUCUGAGGUCGCUUCAAAGGCCACAAUUCUACUCUGGACAGACUUUCACUUUUGAUCCAAACAUUGCCAAAAAAGUUCAACUUUCUAAAACUAUCAUUUUCAGGGAUAGGAUUUUAAAAUUUAAAACCUAAAGCAAAACUCUGUGUGGAUAUUUGUGUGUAUACAUGUAUGUGUUUGUUUGCAUGUGUAUAGGCCAGAAGCCAACCCCACGUAUAGUUUCUUAGGAGUCAUCACCUUGUUUUUGGAGACAGGGUCUCUCACUGCCUGGGGUUUGCGAAGUGGGCUAGGAUGGCUGGCUAAUGAGUUCCAGGUACCUUCUCUUGUCUCUGCCUUCCCAAUGCUGAGAUUAUAAGUGUUCAACCUUUCUGAGAUUUUAGACUUUAUUUAUUUUAUUUGAUGUGUAUGUGUGUGCCUAAGGGUGCACUUGGGUGGUGGUGGUGGGGACAAAAAGGGGCAUUGGAUCACCUGGAAUUGAAGCUACAGGUUAAGUGUGAGCUUCAGUGAAUGGAACCAUUGUGCUUCACAAAAGGAUUGAACACUCUUGACCACUGAGCAAUCUUUUCUUGCCUUCAUUCUGGACUUUUUACAUUGGGUUCUGGGGAUCAAACUCAGGUCCUCAUGUAUUUGUGUAGUGUGCUUGUUAAUUUUUGUCAAGUUAAUAUAAACUUGGAUCACCCGGGAAGUGAUUCUCAAUUGAAGAAUUGUCAGAUUGGCUUUUCUUCAUUUUUGUGUAGCAUUUUCUUGAUUAAUGAUUGGUGGAUAAGAGCCUACCUAACGGUAGACAGAGUCAUCUUUGGGCAGAUGGGCUUGGGUUAUACAAGAAAACAAACUGAGCAAAUCAUAAAAAGCAUGCCAGUAAGCAGAGGUCUCCCCAUGGCCUCUGCUUCAGUUCCUACUUCCUGGUUACUUCCCUGACCUCUCUCCACGGUGGAUCAUGACCUGAACAGAUGAAAUAAACCCUUUCCUUCCCUAAGUUGAUUUUUGAUCAGAAAAACAGAACGGAACAGCAGAGAAACAGUUUGGGACACACAGAGAGCACUUUACAGUACACGGAGUCAUCUCUCUAGCCCACAGCAAAGCUUCUUAAAGUAUCAAGCCUCUUCACAAGAUGAUUGCUACGCAUUCCUUUUCAGAGUUGACACUUAGACCCGGCCAGGGAGCCUCCUUGAGCUGAUGAGAUGGAUUUGGACUGGCCUCUGCUGUGCCCAGAGGGACAUCACUCCAAUGUUUGCACAAGGAUAUCUUUUCUAAACUUUGUUGUUUAAAUCAUGAAAUGUUCCAAACAUUGCACACAAUAAUAAAAGCUUGUCAAAAGUU